rfam:Cucumis melo, WGS project CAJI01000000 data, contig: 22145
GUCCCCUCGCAGACAUCCAAUAAAAUUGGAACGAUAAAUAGAAGAUUGAUAUGGUUCCUGUGCAAGGAUGACAUGUGCAAAUCGAGAAAUGAUCUAAAUUUAG